rnacentral:rRNA from 1 species
AUGGACCAGCGGGCGGCCUGCGGCGGCGAGGGAGGGGGCGGCCUGCGGCGGCGCCCGUACAAGGGCGUGAGGCGGCGGCAGUGGGGGAAGUGGGUGUCGGAGAUCCGGGUGCCCGGGACGCGGGAGCGCCUGUGGCUCGGCUCCUACGCCACCGCCGAGGCGGCCGCCGUCGCGCACGACGCCGCUGUCUGCCUCCUCCGCGGCGGCGCCGGCGGCCUCAACUUCCCGGGCCGCGCGGCCGCCUACGGCCGCGUCCUCCACCACGGCGGCGCGGGCCAGCAGCUGUCCCCACGGUCGGUGCAGCGCGUGGCGUCCGACGCCGGCAUGGCCGCCGACGCGCAGCUCGUGGAGCUGCGCGAGCGUGUUCCCGCGCCGCCCGGCCAGGAGACGGCGCCGGACGGUGGCAUUGGCGCAGUGCAUGGUGGUGCGGGUGCCGGAGAGCAAGUGGCCUACGGUGGUACGAGGAGCUGCAGCCCCGGCGGCGAGCAGCUUGUCUAUGGGGAGCUGAGUGUGGACGACAUAGAGAUCGUGACCAUGUUGCAGUCAUUGUAG